rnacentral:tmRNA from 1 species
GGGGAUGUCUAAAGUUGAUGGUAUCCGCACGACGCUAUGUGCGAGCCGAGUACCAGACCUCGUAAAAAGCUGGAAAUGCAGAAAUGCAAAAAACGUCUUUGCGAAAGUUGCUAACCUUUUCAAGGUGGCGAGCUUCGCACCUGUUCUCGCCUAAAUUGGCCGAGAACCGCUCCCUAUCCUCUGCUUGAGGGGAUAGACGGGUGUCAUACUUCAAGCUCGGUGUGCCAAGUGUAGUUGUUGCGCGGCAUACUUAACAACAGUACAACCAGGGCUGCAGGGUUGGUCAGCGGAACGCUGCAGUCGUCAUAACCCGUUGACUACGCUCGUAGACAGUAGUGAGGUGUGUUUAUCAGACAGGGGUGCGAUGCCCCUCAUCUCCACCA